UACGGAGGGUGCAAGCGUUAAUCGGAAUUACUGGGCGUAAAGCGCACGCAGGCGGUCUGUCAAGUCGGAUGUGAAAUCCCCGGGCUCAACCUGGGAACUGCAUCCGAAACUGGCAGGCUUGAGUCUCGUAGAGGGGGGUAGAAUUCCAGGUGUAGCGGUGAAAUGCGUAGAGAUCUGGAGGAAUACCGGUGGCGAAGGCGGCCCCCUGGACGAAGACUGACGCUGAGGCAUGAGAGCAUGGGGAGCAAACAGG
rnacentral:rRNA from 1 species